UGUCUGCGGGACUGGAGCCCUGCGUGGCCCAAUGCUCCGGGAAAUGGGGCAGCUCAAUAAAAAUCUUUUGAUAUUAGUUUUUAUAGGUAUUUAUACUCUGGUGAGGGUAGCUGGGGACGGAAGCUUCGCUAAUCAGCCCCCGACCUUGGGUUUGGAUAUUCUGCUUGU
ensembl:misc_RNA predicted gene, 27866